CUUCUGUGGAACCAACACCUGGCAAGAAAAGCUACAGGAAUCAGUGCACUGCUGGAGAAUCAGCACAGAGAAGCCUGGAAGCUAAAGACUCUAGGAGCGUGCAGACCCAAGAGGACGUCCCCACAGACUUCUCACCUUCUAAAUACACUGGUAACCUCACAUCUACAAUUAACUGCUGUAUUCUCUGACAGUUUACAUAUGUCUCUCUGACUCUUGUUUCUGAAAAGAAAAUGAAGGCCUCAGCAUCACGUGUUAUUUUUAAUGAAGUAGACACAUGGUAUACGCCAUUUGGAAGAUGGUGCCUUUUGCAAGGACACUUUCCUCCUUUUUGAGGCUUCUGGGCAGUUGUGAAGUUAAGAAUUGAGACUGGGGCUGGAGAGAUGGUUCAGAGGUUAAGAGCACCGACUGCUCUUCCAGAGGUCCUGAGUUCAAUUCCCAGCACCCACAUGGUGGCUCACAACCAUCUGUAAUGAGA